rnacentral:rRNA from 1 species
AGAGUUUGAUCAUGGCUCAGGAUGAACGCUAGCGGCAGGCUUAACACAUGCAAGUCGAGGGGUAUAAGUCUUCGGAUUUAGAGACCGGCGCACGGGUGCGUAACGCGUAUGCAAUCUGCCUUUCACAGAGGGAUAGCCCAGAGAAAUUUGGAUUAAUACCUCAUAGCAUUAUAGAAUGGCAUCAUUUUAUAAUUAAAGUCACAACGGUGAAAGAUGAGCAUGCGUCCCAUUAGCUAGUUGGUAAGGUAACGGCUUACCAAGGCAACGAUGGGUAGGGGUCCUGAGAGGGAGAUCCCCCACACUGGUACUGAGACACGGACCAGACUCCUACGGGAGGCAGCAGUGAGGAAUAUUGGUCAAUGGGCGCAAGCCUGAACCAGCCAUGCCGCGUGCAGGAUGACGGUCCUAUGGAUUGUAAACUGCUUUUGCACAGGAAGAAACACUCCGACGUGUCGGAGCUUGACGGUACUGUGAGAAUAAGGAUCGGCUAACUCCGUGUCAGCAGCCGCGGUAA